UGUUGUGUCGAUCCAAAGGUGGCAAACUAAAGUAAUUGAUUCUAUUUACCAAACAAAAUGAAACAGAAUACAAGCAUAUUGUUUUUUCACGCAUCAUCUGUUAUUUGUUACACAACUAAUAGAUUUACCGAAGAAACAUGGGUCAAAUUAGAACUAACCUCACUCUGCAGCCCGAUCUCUCCCAUAAGGAUACACGAAUGGAUGCGCCGGCGCACACAGCAAGGAGACCAAUGCACCAGAAAAGGAAGAGUCCGGCACGACAAGCACGUGCCUGAUCCAACCACAAAUCCAGUGCCACCUGCCAAAGCACCAGUCUGUUCCCACCAUUAGUCCACGCAUGCUGGCAGUCCCAUUAUAUCUCUAGCAGCUCGACUGCUCCUAGGAUAUUCCAGGAUAUCAGCUGGUGGCCACAAUCCUGAUGAUUGACGUGGCCUGUCCACCAGCACCCACUGCUGUCACUUCCCUCUCGCAUCCACGAUAUAAUCCAAAGCACCCCUUCCCUUCAUCCACACUCGGUAAUCCUUUCUUUGUUUGUCAGGAAACCAGCAUUAGCAUUGAAGUUCUCAGUGUGCUCAUCCUCCCUAGUUGCAACAAGCCCACAAUCAGCAAUGAUGGAAAGACAGGCAGUAAUAGGAGAGGCUGACAUGCAGCAGACCAUGCAGCAAGAUGCGCUCUGCUUGGCCGGGAAGGCCCUAGAUGAAUUUGAUGCCACAAAUUCCACUCAGAUAGCUUGUUUCAUCAAGAAGGAAUUUGACAGGUCAUAUGACCCAGGGUGGCAAUGUAUUGUGGGGACUGACUUUGGUUCUUUUGUGAUGCACCACUGCGGUUGUUUCAUCUAAUUCGGUAUAGGCAGCCUUGCUAUCUUGCUCUUCAGGGGUGGAGUGGCUCCUGAAUCAGAUUCAGGCUAGUUAUCAGCCAUUGAUACAGAAAAAGCAUGAGAAAAAGCAUGUAUCUUCUAGCAUCUGCUGCUUUCCUAGCGCUUGGUGUGUAACAGGAAGAAAUUGUUAUCACAAAGAAUUAUAUACCGUUUGCACUCCUCAAUUCUGAUCUUCCAUUCACCUGUGUGGUUGCCUGGUAAUAGACCUUCCUCGCGAAACCUGCAGCAAUGAGAAAAGUUUUAGAUCUGAAUGUAAGAGAAUCCUGUAAGAAUGAGAACAUGCAGAUAAUUGGAUUAAAUAGCAUGUAAUGAUGCCCUUAAUAUAUGAUUUCUAAAUAUUAUCUGGAA